AUGAGAGUGGCGCACGGGUGCGUAACGCGUGAGCAACCUACCCAUAUCAGGGGGAUAGCCUCUCGAAAGAGAGAUUAACACCGCAUAACAUCAUUUACCGGCAUCGGUUUGUGAUCAAAUAUUUAUAGGAUAUGGAUGGGCUCGCGUGACAUUAGCUAGUUGGAGAGGUAACGGCUCACCAAGGCUACGAUGUCUAGGGGCUCUGAGAGGAGAAUCCCCCACACUGGUACUGAGACACGGACCAGACUCCUACGGGAGGCAGCAGUAAGGAAUAUUGGUCAAUGGAGGCAACUCUGAACCAGCCAUGCCGCGUGCAGGAUGACUGCCCUAUGGGUUGUAAACUGCUUUUGUCAGGGAAUAAACCUUUCCACGUGUGGGAAGCUGAAUGUACCUGAAGAAUAAGGAUCGGCUAACUCCGUGCCAGCAGCCGCGGUAAUACGGAGGAUCCAAGCGUUAUCCGGAUUUAUUGGGUUUAAAGGGUGCGUAGGCGGUCCUAUAAGUCAGUGGUGAAAGACGGCAGCUUAACUGUCGCAGUGCCUUUGAUACUGUAGGACUUGAAUCUAUUUGAAGUGGGCGGAAUAAGACAAGUAGCGGUGAAAUGCAUAGAUAUGUCUUAGAACUCCGAUUGCGAAGGCAGCUCACUAAGUUAGUAUUGACGCUGAUGCACGAAAGCGUGGGGAUCAAACAGGAUUAGAUACCCUGGUAGUCCACGCCCUAAACGAUGAUAACUCGAUGUUUGCGAUACACAGUAAGCGUCCAAGCGAAAGCGUUAAGUUAUCCACCUGGGGAGUACGGUCGCAAGAUUGAAACUCAAAGGAAUUGACGGGGGCCCGCACAAGCGGAGGAGCAUGUGGUUUAAUUCGAUGAUACGCGAGGAACCUUACCCGGGCUUGAAAGUUAGUGAAUGAUCCAGAGACGGAUCAGUCCUUCGGGACACGAAACUAGGUGCUGCAUGGCUGUCGUCAGCUCGUGCCGUGAGGUGUUGGGUUAAGUCCCGCAACGAGCGCAACCCCUAUGUUUAGUU
rnacentral:rRNA from 1 species